GACGAUCAUCCCCGGUAGCAAAGCAAUAGGGUAGGUGGCCACUGUAUUUUCCCUGCCGCUGAUAAAUCGUAUGUUUUCUAAUUACGGACGAGCUCUCAGACGUAAAACGUUCGGUCAAUGAACCUGAUGUUUCAGGUGGAUGCAUGGAAGAUGCUCAGUUCUUGUCCUGGUCCUGGUCAAAGAAGAGCAGCAGCCAACGUGUAGUUGGAACUGCGCUCUAGCAAAUGCCCAAUGGCACAGGUGAUCAACCCCUUGUACUCACGCUCGUUGUACCGUCCGUCUGUCUGCCAGUGCCAGCUGACUUGACAAAUCACGGCUUCACAAGCAACGCACGCCCAACACGCAGGAGAAGACACAACUGAAGAAGCUAGCAAGCAACCCAGCAACCAGCGCUUCUCCUGCCCUAGCCAAUAAUAAACUGCCAACCCAAACCAGAUGGAGACAGCCGCACCGAUGAAUUCGCCGCGCGCGGCCGGCCAACGCGAGUCCAGACUGAGAAAAUCGCCGCGGGAGGCAUGCAGCGCGAUCCCGCAGAAAAAACUGGCGGUUCCGGUGCGCGCUCCGGUCAGGCGGCAGGCAGGUGGAACGCGUGGACACAGAGGCCGGCAGGGCGGCUAGACGGACGGAGUCAUCAAUCACUACCUGAUCGAGCAAAGACGCAUCGCGGCGCGCGCCGAGGCAGGUCAUUGGCUGGUCGAUCUGGCAGAUGAUGCCCACCCCCUCUCCUCCGCCUCUUUCUCCUUGCGUCUUGCCUUGUCCUGCUGUGCCUGCGAUUUGUGUCUGCAUUAUUUUGCCCCCGUCGUGCGCUGUGCCUGGUUUCUUGAUGAGGCGGCUUCGGCGAGACGCCGACGUCUCAACCAUUCCUCUUAAUCUUUGCGAUUAUUAUUUUCUUUCUCGGCUUACGUACCUGCGUCCAUUCGUAUUGUAUCGUCGUUGCCGCGCGCGCGCCUAUUAAUUCAGCUGCUGCUUGCCUCGCCCGCCCGCCCGCCCGCCCGCUCGCUCCAUUGCCAGCCAAGUUAAUUACGUGAUGAGCUGGGAGCUCGGGUGUCUAGUCGUCCAUGGCGCCGAUCGGUGCAGAAGGCUUGCGAGAUUGAGAGGUGGUGGCGUUGAACUGGUUGGCUGAGAGAGUGCGAUGUUGGCACGGUUCAAUCAAAUCGCCGGCCGGGUUGACUUGUUGAUUGAGCCGUGCCAAUAUCACAACCUUCUCUAGCCUAGGCGGCCGGGCUACAGUUUUGGAUGCUACUAUGCUUCCUCAAGUACCAGCGGGCUACCAGGCCGCAUACCCAUCCACAUCCACAUCCAGGCAUCCAGCAUCCAGUCGUCGUAUAGUGGCCCGCAGGCCGCAGCCAAGCCUGCGGCGGCUCAGGUUUGGUCAAGUGGCCGCUAGGAGGAAGCCAAGGGUAGUCUAGCUAGCGUUGGUCAAAACUUGUUUUCAUUGUUCUACUAUUGUUGAGCAUUCCGAAUUCGCUUGUCAAAAGACUACAAGAGAAUAGCUGAUAUAUUAAUUAUUAUCAUGGCUAAUAUAAUCGUCUAUGUUGCUCUAGCCCUGCAUAGUUGUAGGAAAUCAAGGUGCUUCUAUCCCUGGCCGGACAUAUAAUAAUAGUAUAGUAGCAUACUAUAUAUAUCGAGAUAGACAAGGACAACAUAUAUCGAGGUAGGCAAGGACAGCAUGAGAGCAUGUUUCACAUGUGCUAUUUUAUAAUGUUACUGUAUUAAUAUCAUUUAUGUAUGUGCGGGCACUGGCAAUAGUUUAAGUAUAUCACUUUUAACUAUAUCAAGCUUUCGUAUUAGUUGGCAUCUUUAAUCUAUACUAACGUGAAUGUUUUAAUACAACCGGUACUAAAUGCAUUAGUACUUCAAUAGGUACUACAACCUUCGCGUUAUAUUAGUACGGUUGGAGAUACCAACCGGUGCUAAAGUUCUUGUUUUAUAAACUCUCUACCUCCUCAAGCUGACGUAUAUCAGGAAUAGAAAGGAGCACUUUUCAUGGCACUAAAAGCCGAGGGAAGAUGCUAUCCAUUUUUCAAAAAAUUAUUGAAGAUUUCACUCAUUUAAAUGUGAGAAAAGUUUAGCAAGUUCAUCCUCUCUUAUAGUAUGGUUGAAAUAGUUACUUACUUUGUUUAGAUUUUUCUAAAUUAUGUGGUUGAUUGUAUAAUCUAGGAAACAAAUUUAGUAAGUUCAUCCUCCCAUAUAUGUUAUAAUAUUUAUGAAGGUAAUAGAAAUUAUAAAAAAAUAGAGAGAUGUGCUAUUCAUAGCGCCAUAAGCUUUAAAGAGGGGAUGUGCUAUCUAACUUUUUUCCUAUAAUUUAUUGAAGAUUUCACUCAUUUAAGUGUAAGAAAAGGUCGGUAAUUUCCUACUCUCAUGUAGUAUGGUUGAAAUAUUUGUUUAGAUUUCUUAAAUUGUGCGAUUGGUUGUCUUUAAAAAAUAUAUGUUUAUAAAAGAUAGUGUCAACAAUAUUUUAUACAGAUAAUGCAGAUAGACCAUCAAUAGAUGUACACUUCAAAUAAUAUAUUGAAGGUGUUCAUUAUUUUCUUAAGAUGGCUGAGAGACACAAGCAAAGAGGUUUUAUAUGUUGUCCAUAUAGAGACCAUAAUACCAAUUCACCUAUGUUUGCUUUAAAGGGGUUUCAUGUCUUACUAUAUUUGUUAGACUAAGCACAGAGAAACAGUGGGUUUAAAGGAUCGAUGGAGAAGAGGAGGACUACGACACAAGUCCAAACUAUGCUCAGUACAAUUCUUUUAUAGAUGAUGUAAUGGGUGAGGCUAAAGAUCCCGAAGAAAACAACGCUUUGCCACAAAUUUUGCAUGAUGGAGACAAAAGACUGUGACAACGAAAAGGUUAGCAAAAAAUUGGAGUGUAUAUUAUAAGACCAUAAAACUUUGUUGUUCCAUAUUAUAGAUCGGGCCAGAAAAAGUUGUGUAGCUCAUUGAAAUUGUUACAGUGGAAGGCAACAAAUGGUAUCACUGACAAAAGUUUUAAUGAGAUCUUAAAACUCAUAAAGAAGUUCUUUUCAGAGGAGAACAAAUUGUCAGCAUCAACAUAUGAAGCCAAAGAGAUUGUUUGCCCUGUUGGUUGGAAGCACGUAAGAUACAUGCAUGUCCAAAUGACUGUAACAUGUAUCAUGGUGAGAAGAACAAGAAAUUAAAAGUUUGUUUGGUGGGCGAACCCCCAGAAAAAAGAAUAGUUGCUAAGGUCAUGUGUCACUUCUCUAUGAUAUCAUGUUUGAAGCGUUCGUUUCGUAACAAAGAGCACGACAAAAUGAUGUGGUGACAUAGAUAGUGAUGGAAAGAAGAACUCAUAAUAAGGUUAUAUGGAGGAGAUCUAGGAACUCGAGUAUGGACCAUAUUUGAAGAUACCCUAUUUCAUUGUCAAUGGAUAAAGUUAAAUGGAGGAGUCAUAAUAGUUGACCCACAGUAUGGAAUGACCACUAUUGACCUCAAUAUGAUUUGAUAUAGAGAUGAAUUAUUCGCCCUUGCCAAGGUUGUCAUCCACCUCUUUUGAUAAGAUCAUAUGCCUUAUGAAAUAGAAAUUCACAAUUAAUACCACUUGAGUUUGACAUUAUUUGAAUAAUGUCACUUUCUAAAUUUUGAUCAUUCGAGUGUUUCCAACACCAUUGAUGUCUUGAGUUGAACUUCCUUGAGUUGUGACUUUGAGUUAAUCAAUCCAUUUUGAUCAUGACUUUGCAUAUCAACUAAAGUCACUUUUUAAAUUGUUUGAUCCUUCACAUCAACAUGACCUUCGAAGCUUGAUUAAUUGCUCGACUAAAUGCAAGUACUUUCUUCUUCAUCAUAGCUAGGUUCUUUAGUCGCCAAGCCAAUGUUUGCCCUUCACCUUUGCUUAGUACCUCACAAAAUUUCCUUGCUAUGUUCACCAUCUCGAGCCAUCAAGUCACAUACUAUUUUGAAUCAACAAUUAAGCAUAUAAUUUAUGUGUUUCAUUCGUAUUAUUAUCUUCGCUAUGAAUGUCAUUCUUCAUUUUGUGAUUGAUCAACAUUAAGAGUGAGAUCAUUCCAGUCUCAUGUCUCAUUUGUUAUUGGUACACACAAUGACACAAGCUUGUUAAUUCAUUUUAUCAAUAUGCCUCGAGCUCAUUUCUCAUCUGCAAGUUAUUUGCCAAAUUUGAGACCAAAUAUAAUACAACACACAUGAGACUAAACACAUGCAAGUCCUAUAAAUCAUAUUUUAUAUUAAAACCCACUGAGGUUGGAGUAACAUUAAAUCCAACAAAAUCCACAUGGGCCUGUUUGAAAACACUAUUUUUUUAAAAACCCCAUGGUUUAUAAUACCACAAUUUACCGAAUACCAUGACACAACUAUGAUAUAUUAUUUUACAUCACUCUAAUCCAACACCAGUUUGGAGAUACAAUAUUUUAGUACAUGAGGGGAGGAGAAGAGCAAGACUACUGCCAUGUGCCAAUAAAGAUCAAUGUUUUUUAGACCCCACAAAUACUAUGGUAUUCGUAAAACCAUAGUUUAGAAUACAAAUCAGAGUUUCUAGAUAUGCUCUAAACAUCUUUUAGCCUAAAGUACUAUAGUAUAUUCAAAUAGUACAAUAUUGUUGUCUUAGAAAUAAAAAUAUAUUGUAUUCCCAAACAGAUCAUAGGUCGAUGCACUUUCACCGCUCCUCGGUGUCACACCCGGUUUUAAGGGUGUUGGUGUUUUGACCCGAGGGUCCUAACCAACGAGUGAAUUUGUACUACGUGUCUCAGGCCAGAUGGGUGAUGCAAGAAGACACAAGAUUUAUUCUGAUUUGGGCAAGAGAAGGUCCUACUUCCAGCGGGGGAUGAGACUUAUAUUAUCUUGCACCUAGGUGCUCGUAGUAUGGGGUACAAGCUGGUCGAGAGCGGGAGUGAAUCCCAAGUAUCUGUGAGUGAAUGAGGCAAUUGCCAAUAUCAAAAGUGGAGAGCAAAACGGUGAAGUGUAGUCCUCCAUCCCCUGAGAAAAAAGAAAGAGCUUUUGACAGAGAAUUUGUUCGGCUGGUCGAUUGUUCAGUCGUACGGUUGUAGCUCUAUAACUAGAAAACAUUGUAGCUUGAACUAAAAGGUUACAACCUGUUGGGGUCUUCUUAUUCCGAAGGUCCUCAACACACCAAAACAAUAGUUAUUUCUGGUCUAUUUCUAAGUAUUACAUGUACUCUUAGCAAAAGCAUCUUCGGAUAAAUCGGUUACGGACGAAGGUACAAUCUUGAGGAUAGUGUCAUAAAGGGGCAAAGGACGAAGCUGAAGGAAGCUGAAGCAAGUCUUCUAGAGUUAGUUCGCCGAAAUGACAGAAGGAAAAGACACUUUUAUCUUUGCCAUGCUAAGGGGGUGUUUGGUUUGCCCCUGCUAAAAUUUAGCCCCUAUCACAUCGAAUGUUUGAACCUCCGUUCGGGGUAUUAAAUGUAGUCGGAUUAUAAAACUAAUUUCUCAGCCGAAGAUUAAAAAGUGAGACGAAUCUAGUACAGUUGGUUGGGUCUAUAUUUCAUACUCCUAUUUGAAAGUCAAACGCUUGAUGUGACCCGGGCUAAACUUUAGUCCACAGAACCAAACACCCCCUAAAUAGUUCAAAUGUAUAGAUUUAAGGGUAUAAAUGUAAUUUUACCAAAGUUGUACUCUGCGUCUAUAAAUAGAGGAACAGUGAUAUACAUUUCGAUA